rnacentral:lncRNA from 13 species
AUAAGAGCACGCACUAAUUCAGCGUAUUAAUUCAUCUCAGUUCCAUUAUGAAUUACUAGAUGGCGACAAUAGACCAUCCAUUUGCACUGGUCUCACUCGCAUAUUGGUAUCGUCACCACACAGGUAGGCUACGUAGAGUUGGGCCACUACACUACAGGUUUGUCUGCGAGUAUUUGUCCUGUGUCUAUGAUUCGGCGUCAUAUUGUCUGUACUUUUCUCAAAAGUCACUGUACAGUUACAGUUCGAUAGUACUUUCUUCCACAUGGGCCGAAAUGUCAUAUCUCUACACACAAAUAACAUGACAUCGUAUAAAGAUUUCAAUCCAUACUAUGGUUAGUAAACAGAUUUUCAAUUAGUCAAUCACCUUCCAUUCCCAUAGAAAUUUACGCGACGCCUUCGCAGCCAGGCACGUGUUCGCAGCGCACGGUGUCUGAUGGAACAAUACAGUUUAUGUCUAGGGUGUGGCUGGGAGAAAGACACGCCCGUUAAAGUUAGUUCCAUGCAGAGAAAAAGAAGGUGUAAGAAGAUUGCUGCAGCAGAGGAGGCAACAUGAAACUAUAAUCACAUCACACACAUAGCCAUGAAACUAUAAUCAGAUCACACACAUACCCAGUCUACAAUACCAGAAACAUAAUCAUUACUACUUGUAUUAUUUUCACUAUUCAACAGAGAAGUCUAAAACUCCAGCUUUGUAAUUCAGCACACUGUGUUCCCAUGAUGUCAUACCUGUGGAUUCUCCUGCUGGGCAGUUUGGUGAUUGGAGCCAAGACACAGGAAGACCCUGCUACUGAACCAGAAGCGAAGGAACCAGAGGCAGAAGCAGCAGAACCCGAGGCCCCUGCAGAAGAAGUAGCUGCCGAGGAGGCCCUGGUAGCUGAGGAGGCCCCUGCAGAAGAAGUAGCUGCCGAGGAGGCCCUGGUACCUGAGGAGGCUCCGGCAGAAGAAGAAGCUCCGGCAGAAGAGGAAGAGGAAAAGGCUCCGACAGUUGAGGAUGCUCUGGCAGAAGAAGACGCUCUUGCAGAAGAGGCUCCAGCCACAGAGGAAGAGGAGGCUCCGGCCACAGAGGAAGAGGACGCAGAAGUAGUAGACGAACCAGCAGUAAAAUCAGAGGCAGCCCCUGAAGCUGAGGCUGAACCAGGGUCUAGCUCUGGCUCGGUGGUGGGCAUUCUGUGUGCUAUCGGCGUGGCGAUCGUUGGAGCUGCCACCGGAUACUUCACCUAUCACAAGAAGAAGCUCUGUUUCAAGAACAGUGGAGGGGAUGUAGAGAGUGCCCGUAAGGAGGAGGCUGAGACCCAGUCGAAUCCCCAGGUUCUCAGCAACUUGCUGACUAAAUCCUCCUAGAUCGUCUGAGAUUCCAAUGGAGAAGAACCAGAACCAGCAGUUUACCAUAACACACACGCACACACUCAUACACAGAUCCAUCCCAAUCUUUAGGCCUUAAACUGAUUAUAGUUGUAAAACUGUGAGUGGUUAGUGGUUUGGAGGUUAUUAACUUUCAGCACCACGUUAGAGUCAGACCAAUCAGUAGUAUCUCAGUGUCUUCUAAAGAUCACAUUUGUAAUCCGUUAAAAAAGGGGUGAUAUUUUCCACCCACUUAACAGCACCGAGACAAUGUAGGCCUAUUUCUCUGUAUACAAGUACUGGGAAGUUCACCUGGGUUCCUGUCAUUUUAGCUAACAUUCCACUCCUUGCCACUCCUGUCAUUUGCCAAAGAGACUGGCUUGUCGACGUUCCUAAAGUUCAAAAUGCAAACUGGAUUUACAAUUACAUUGUGAUUGGAGGAUAACUGUGACGGUUAUCGAAUCAAGAUCAAAUCCUCUGAUCUUCUCAAGCUCAUAAUGAUAGAAUGUUCAUAUUUGAAGAUUGGCGAAAGACAAUGAAUACAAGGAGUGGCGUGUAAUUGGCUGAACAGCAACCAGGCUACAGUUCCCAGAUUAUUUAGGAUAAAAUGGACCCUCCUUUAUUUGAAAUGUUACCGUUGUUUGGUUCUUUACAAUGAUUUAGGGUUGGAUUUAAUCCGUAUUGCUGAAGAUCCAUGAUAUAAUGCUGAUCUUCAGUGCUACAGAUUGAAUCAAGCCCUUACUGUGUGUGUUGUAGCCUACUCUUCUAGCCUGGUUUCAUACUGUAGCCAACUCUUCUAGCCUGGUUUCAUACUGUAGCCAACUCUUCUAGCCUGGUUUCAUACUGUAGCCAACUUUUACAUUUUAGUCAGUUAGCAGAUGCUCUUACCUAGGGUAACUUACAGGAGCAAUUAGGGUUAUGUGCCUUGCUCAAAGACACAUUGAGAGACUUUUCACCUAGUCAGCUCAGGGAUUUGAACCAGAGACCAAUCAGUUACUGGCCCAAUGCUCCUAACCGCUAGGCUACCUGCCACCUCUGGCUACCAUUCUUCUAGUCUGGUUUCAUACUGUAUGUGCUGUAGUCAACUCUUCUAGCCUUCUCCCAUAAUGAAUGUAGCCAACUACUCUAUCAUUGUCAAGCCAUACAUGUUUUGUGUGACAAUGAAGGAACUCAGAGAGGAGUUGGCCAAAGCACCAAAAGACUGGAACACCAGGCUAGUAGUGUUGUUCUGUGAAAGCUGGUUAGAGGAAGCUAUGUGAGAGCUGGUACGAGGACCGAAGAUAUCACCCUUGUUGUGUGUUUGCUGGGUAUUUGAGGGGCUUGGGGACCUUGUCUAAAAUACAACAACGUAUGAGAACAUUUGGCUCUAUUGAAAUGUUCAAAUAGUAUGUGUUACAAUAUAAUGCUGUACUGCUCUGUAAGUGCCUUACAUUAGAUGUUUCACCUGGGAAGCCUUUUUAUGAUUCUAUCUCACUACUAAGGCCAGUCUGAAAUGGCGCCCUAUUCCCUCUAUAGUGGAAUACUUUUGAAGCCCUACUAUAAAGGGAAUAGGGAGCCAUUUCAGACACAGCUCUAGACUCAGGCACGGGUCUUCAACUGCCCACCCAGCAGCUUUCCAGGACCAGAGUUGGAGAACCCAGUGCCUGCUUAACGCCACAGGGUUCACCCAAACAGUACUGUGCUGGCCAGCAUAUUUUCUUUUCACAUUAUUUUUUCCAACAUGGGUCCAGCAACUAUGGGAGAUGUGUAACUGGGCAAGCCCAGUACAGCUUGGUUUGGCGUAGUAGUGUGAAAAGGGUAUACGACUGUAUGCAGUAUAACCCUGGGCAGGAGUCAGCCUGGGAGGAGCUCACCACUGAACACACAGUGAGAAUGUUCCAGUUCACAGUGAAAGACUGUGAGUCUCUUGGAGAAGCAAUUUCUGAUUAGCCUGGUCUCAUGAUCUGUGUGUGCUUUAGCCAACUAACUCCUCUGAAUAUCAUUGUCUUGACAAUACUUCUUUUGGAGAAUAACUUUCCUCUCCAAAAGAGUUUUAUGGUAAGUGUAAUGAUGAUCCGGUGAUACACAGAGUACUCCACUCUUAUAUUUAAUGAAUCUGUCUUUGUAAUCGUGUGUUUGAGAAUUGUGUGAUUUUAAUCCGUUAGCACAUAUUUCUUUUUGAAUUGUGUAAAUAAUGCUGGAGAUAGAAAUAAAGAAGCUGUUCAGGGGGAACUAUGUGUCAUGUGUCUGUUGUGUGUGAUGGGCGUGACAAACAGUGUCUUGUGGCAUGCAGGUGACCAGGGUUGAAACCCAGUCAGUAACAUAUGGAUCAGUGCUGCUAGAGACACAGCUGCCUGUAUGAAUCAGACAUGAAGACAUGACCAGAACAGCUUGAUAUGCCAGGUAUUCAUCAUCAUAGGGCGGCCACACACACACACACACACACACACACACACACACACACACGCGCGCGCCCGCACGUAUA